UACAGAGGUCUCAAGCGUUGUUCGGAUUCAUUGGGCGUAAAGGGCGCGUAGGCGGCGGGGUAAGUCUGGUGUGAAAUCCCAGGGCUCAACCCUGGAACUGCAUUUGAUACUGGCAGGCUAGAGUGUGGUAGAGGAUAGUGGAAUUCCCGGUGUAGCGGUGAAAUGCGUAGAUAUCGGGAGGAACAUCAGUGGCGAAGGCGGCUAUCUGGACUAACACUGACACUGAGACUCGAAAGCGUGGGGAGCAAACAGG
rnacentral:rRNA from 1 species